rnacentral:lncRNA from 10 species
UUCCAUAGGAUCAAAGUAUCUGCUUUGACAUAUUUAUUAACCUAAAAAAGUAAUAACAGCUUUUCAGUGCAGAAACCACCUUAUCUAUGUGACAAAGCUCGGGCCAUCAGUGGCAAGGUAGAUUGGCAUCACGUACCUUUGAUACAACAACCUGAGAAGGACGUCACUUCUGCGAUAUUCCUGCCAAAAAUGCAUCUCCGCAUUCCGAUCGUGAGAACAUCCUGGGCACACCCAAACUGAGAGACACCAUACAAAGUGACUGGUCAGUGCACUCAAAGGCAAAAAGCUCAUGGAAGGCAACAGAAGACAGGAGAAGUGACAGCUAAAAGCAGCGUGGAAUCCUGGAAGGGACAAAGAACACGAGCAGAGAAACUGUAGAAGCUGAGUGAGGGCAGCGGUCCAGCUUGCGCUGUUUUGCUGGGGUGAUUCUGGCUUUGAUGACCUUGUUUUGAGCCUCAGGUUUUCCUUAGGAUUCCGUGUGUGUUCCCCGCCUGGCCCCUCCGCAGCGACUCUGCUGUCAGUGGCUGCCCCAGGGUGGAGAGUGACCUACCUCCGGCUUCUCCUGUCCCGGCUUCUC